rnacentral:rRNA from 1 species
AGAGUUUGAUCCUGGCUCAGAUUGAACGCUGGCGGCAUGCCUUACACAUGCAAGUCGGACGGCAGCGCGGGAGCAAUCCUGGCGGCGAGUGGCGAACGGGUCAGUAAUACAUCGGAACAUGUCCAGUAGUGGGGGAUAGCCCGGCGAAAGCCGGAUUAAUACCGCAUACGAUCUAUGGAUGAAAGCGGGGGAUCGCAAGACCUCGCGCUAUUGGGGUGGCCGAUGGCGGAUUAGCUAGUUGGUGGGGUAAAGGCCUACCAAGGCGACGAUCCGUAGCUGGUCUGAGAGGACGACCAGCCACACUGGGACUGAGACACGGCCCAGACUCCUACGGGAGGCAGCAGUGGGGAAUUUUGGACAAUGGGGGCAACCCUGAUCCAGCAAUGCCGCGUGUGUGAAGAAGGCCUUCGGGUUGUAAAGCACUUUUGUCCGGGAAGAAAUCCCCUGCCCUAAUACGGCGGGGGGAUGACGGUACCGGAAGAAUAAGCACCGGCUAACUACGUGCCAGCAGCCGCGGUAAA